UACGGGGGGAGCAAGCGCUGUUCGGAUUUACUGGGCGUAAAGGGCGCGUAGGCGGCCUCUGCAAGUCGACUGUGAAAUCUCCGGGCUUAACCCGGAAAGGUCAGCCGAUACUGCGGGGCUAGAGUGCAGAAGGGGCAACUGGAAUUCUCGGUGUAGCGGUGAAAUGCGUAGAUAUCGAGAGGAACACCUGCGGCGAAGGCGGGUUGCUGGGCUGACACUGACGCUGAGGCGCGAAAGCUAGGGGAGCGAACGGG
rnacentral:rRNA from 1 species